AUGCUCGCUUCAGCGGCACAUACACUAAAAUUGGAUCAGUACAGAGAUUAGCAUGGUCUCUACACAAGGAGUUCAUCCAAAUUCAUAAAAAACAAAACAA
rnacentral:snRNA from 1 species